UACGGGGGGAGCAAGCGUUGUUCGGAAUCACUGGGCGUAAAGGGCGUGUAGGCGGUUCGGUAAGUGGGAUGUGAAAUCCCCGGGCUCACCCCGGGACCUGCAUCCCAAACUGCUGAGCUUGAGUACAGGAGAGGGUGGGGGAAUUCCAGGUGUAGCGGUGAAAUGCGUAGAGAUCGGGAGGAACACCAGUGGCGAAGGCGGCUACCUGGACCAGCACUGACACUGAGGCACGAAAGCGUGGGGAGCAAACAGG
rnacentral:rRNA from 1 species